UACGAAGGGGGCUAGCGUUGCUCGGAAUUACUGGGCGUAAAGCGCACGUAGGCGGCUUGUUAAGUCAGGGGUGAAAUCCUGGAGCUCAACUCCAGAACUGCCUUUGAUACUGGCGAGCUUGAGUUCGGGAGAGGUGAGUGGAACUGCGAGUGUAGAGGUGAAAUUCGUAGAUAUUCGCAAGAACACCAGUGGCGAAGGCGGCUCACUGGCACGAUACUGACGCUGAGGUGCGAAAGCGUGGGGAGCAAACAGG
rnacentral:rRNA from 1 species